UACAGAGGGUGCGAGCGUUGUCCGGAAUCACUGGGCGUAAAGGGCGCGUAGGUGGCGACCCAAGUCGAUGGUGAAAGCUCGCCGCUCAACGGCGAGUCGGCCACCGAUACUGGGUUGCUGGAGCACUGUAGAGGCUCAUGGAAUUCCGGGUGUAACGGUGGAAUGCGUAGAGAUCCGGAAGAACACCGGUGGCGAAGGCGGUGAGCUGGGCAGUUGCUGACACUGAGGCGCGACAGCGUGGGGAGCAAACAGG
rnacentral:rRNA from 1 species